UACGUAGGGGGCAAGCGUUGUCCGGAAUCAUUGGGCGUAAAGAGCGUGUAGGCGGUCCGGUCAGUCGGUUGUGAAAGUCAAGGGCUCAACCCUUGAAUGCCGGCCGAUACUGCCGGGCUAGAGUCCGGAAGAGGUGAGUGGAAUUCCUGGUGUAGCGGUGAAAUGCGCAGAUAUCGGGAAGAACACCCGUGGCGAAGGCGGUUCUCUGGGACGGUACUGACGCUGAGACGCGAAAGCGUGGGGAGCGAACAGG
rnacentral:rRNA from 1 species